UACGAAGGGGGCUAGCGUUGCUCGGAAUCACUGGGCGUAAAGGGUGCGUAGGCGGGUCUUUUAAGUCAGGGGUGAAAUCCUGGAGCUCCAACUCCAGAACUGCCUUUGAUACUGAAGAUCUUGAGUUCGGGAGAGGUGAGUGGAACUGCGAGUGUAGAGGUGAAAUUCGUAGAUAUUCGCAAGAACACCAGUGGCGAAGGCGGCUCACUG
rnacentral:rRNA from 1 species